rnacentral:rRNA from 1 species
AUUGAACGCUGGCGGCAGGCCUAACACAUGCAAGUCGAGCGGAUGAGGGGAGCUUGCUCCUCGAUUCAGCGGCGGACGGGUGAGUAAUGCCUAGGAAUCUGCCUAGUAGUGGGGGACAACGUUUCGAAAGGAACGCUAAUACCGCAUACGUCCUACGGGAGAAAGUGGGGGAUCCUCGGACCUCACGCUAUUAGAUGAGCCUAGGUCGGAUUAGCUAGUUGGUAGGGUAAAGGCCUACCAAGGCGACGAUCCGUAACUGGUCUGAGAGGAUGAUCAGUCACACUGGAACGGAGACACGGUCCAGACUCCUACGGGAGGCAGCAGUGGGGAAUAUUGGACAAUGGGCGAAAGCCUGAUCCAGCCAUGCCGCGUGUGUGAAGAAGGCCUUCGGGUCGUAAAGCACUUUAAGUUGGGAGGAAGGGCUCAUAGCGAAUACCUGUGAGUUUUGACGUUACCAACAGAAUAAGCACCGGCUAACUUCGUGCCAGCAGCCGCGGUAA